rnacentral:rRNA from 1 species
GAUCCUGGCUCAGGACGAACGCUGGCGGCGUGCUUAACACAUGCAAGUCGAACGAAGAGCGAUGGAAGCUUGCUUCUAUCAAUCUUAGUGGCGAACGGGUGAGUAACGCGUAAUCAACCUGCCCUUCAGAGGGGGACAACAGUUGGAAACGACUGCUAAUACCGCAUACGAUCCAAUCUCGGCAUCGAGACUGGAUGAAAGGUGGCCUCUAUUUAUAAGCUAUCACUGAAUGG